GACGAACGCUGGCGGCGUGCUUAACACAUGCAAGUCGAACGGAAAGGCCCUGCUUGCAGGGUACUCGAGUGGCGAACGGGUGAGUAACACGUGGGUGAUCUGCCCUGCACUUCGGGAUAAGCCUGGGAAACUGGGUCUAAUACCGGAUAGGAGCCAUUUUUAGUGUGAUGGUUGGAAAGUUUUUUCGGUGUAGGAUGAGCUCGCGGCCUAUCAGCUUGUUGGUGGGGUAAUGGCCUACCAAGGCGGCGACGGGUAGCCGGCCUGGGAGGGUGGACGGCCACAGUGGGACUGAGACACGGACAAGACGCCGACGGGAGGCAGCGGUGGGGAAGAUUGCAAAAGGGGCGCAAGCCUGAUGCAGCGACGCCGCGUGGGGGAUGACGGUCUUGGGGUUGGAAACGCCUUUCGCUAGGGACGAAGCUUUUUGUGACGGUACCUAGAUAAGAAGCACCGGCUAACUACGUG
rnacentral:rRNA from 1 species